AUGGCGGGUGCGGGAGUCCGUGCCAGCAAUCUGGAACUGUUUUUAAACGCGGGGGUGGAAGAGCUUCACAGCUCUGCCGGGAAAUGGAUACCGUCGCCCAUGCGUUAUCGCAAUACAGGGUUGUCUAUGUCGACGGAUGCUGAAGCGGAUGAGUACUCACGCUACGGUGUAGAUGGAGAGUCGGUUGCGGAAAUGAAAUCGCUGAUUGAACGUCAUCACGUGUAGCAACGUACCGAUUUUUACCGCGCAUCAUGUCGCCCAAUAUGAUGCUUGCUUGUACCAGGCCCCUGCCAAUUACACAGGGGCCUUUUUU
rnacentral:ncRNA from 1 species